rnacentral:rRNA from 1 species
UUCCCGGUUGAUCCUGCCGGAGGUCACUGCUAUUGGGAUUCGGCUAAGCCAUGCAAGCGGAGGGCGCGGUCGAAAGAUCGUGGCCCCGCACACUGCUCAGUAACACGUAGUCAACCUACCCUUGGGACGGGGACAACCUCGGGAAACUGAGGCUAAUACCCGAUAGGUGAGGGACGCUGGGAUGCCUCCUCGCCCAAAGCUCCGGCGCCCAAGGAUGGGACUGCGGUCUAUCAGGCUGUUGGUGGUGUAACGGACCACCAAACCUACGACGGGUACGGGCGAUGGGGGUCGGAGCCCGGAGAUGGGGACUGAGACAAGGCCCCAGGCCCUACGGGGCGCAGCAGGCGCGAAAACUCCGCAAUGCGCGCAAGCGUGACGGGGGGAUCCCAAGUGCCGUUGGUCUUUCGAUCGACGGUUUUUAGGAAGUCUAAGAAGCUUCCAGAAUAAGGGCUGGGCAAGACUGGUGCCAGCCGCCGCGGUAACACCAGCAGCCCAAGUGGUGGCCACGAUUAUUGGGCCUAAAGCGCUCGUAGCCGGAUCAGCAAGUCCCUUGUGAAAUCGGGCCGCCUAACGGUUCGGCGUGCAAGGGAUACUGUUGGUCUUGAGGCCGGGAGAGGUCGGAGGUACUCCUGGGGUAGCGGUGAAAUGCUCUAAUCCUAGGGGGACCACCAGUGGCGAAGGCGUCCGACCAGAACGGACCUGACGGUGAGGGGCGAAGGCUAGGGGAGCGAACGGGAUUAGAUACCCCGGUAGUCCUAGCUGUAAAGCAUGCGGGCCAGGUGUCUAGCGCUCCUUGAGGGCACUAGGUGCCGGAGGGAAGCCGUUAAGCCCGCCGCCUGGGAAGUACGGCCGCAAGGCUGAAACUUAAAGAAAUUGGCGGGGGAGCACCACAAGAGGUGGGACCUGCGGUUCAAU